rnacentral:rRNA from 1 species
AAGACGGUCUUGCUGUCACUUAUAGAUGGAUCCGCGCUGCAUUAGCUAGUUGGUAAGGUAACGGCUUACCAAGGCAACGAUGCAUAGCCGACCUGAGAGGGUGAUCGGCCACACUGGAACUGAGACACGGUCCAGACUCCUACGGGAGGCAGCAGUAGGGAAUCUUCCGCAAUGGGCGAAAGCCUGACGGAGCAACGCCGCGUGAGUGAUGAAGGUCUUCGGAUCGUAAAACUCUGUUAUUAGGGAAGAACAUAUGUGUAAGUAACUGUGCACAUCUUGACGGUACCUAAUCAGAAAGCCACGGCUAACUACGUGCCAGCAGCCGCGGUAAUACGUAGGUGGCAAGCGUUAUCCGGAAUUAUUGGGCGUAAAGCGCGCGUAGGCGGUUUUUUAAGUCUGAUGUGAAAGCCCACGGCUCAACCGUGGAGGGUCAUUG